rnacentral:lncRNA from 1 species
UGAACAGUUGAAAAAUGGAAUUGACUUUCACUCCUCCAGGUCCAGAAGGAUUCUAAUACACAAACCAUAAGCAAGAGUUGUUUCUGUUAUUUUGUCCACAGAACAGAAGCUGAAAAAGCAUAUUGCUUGCAUUUCAGCCAGUCCCCUUAAUACUUUGAGAACACUGGGAUGUGAUGUCUCCGUCUGCCACCUCAGAAUCAUUUGUUCCUACGAGAAGGCCAAGAGUGGUACUUGCUUUGAUCACUGUUUUUAAAUAGAAGACACAUUGGUAGAAAUCUUUCAUAUAAUAUGUUGCUGCUUUUGGGGGGGUGUUGGGGAGUACCAGAGAGGUCUGCAUGCAUCUGCAGUGUACACUGGCAAACAAAAGGUUUGUCAUUCCCGUUGUCCUGUUGUGCUUCCUUUCCACCUCUCCCUGGCUGUUCCCCCACCCCCUUGUUCCUUUUGUAAAGGAUGCAGGUGUAGUCUUGUGCCAGUCUGUGACAUAACACCUGAACAAUUUCUAUGGUAUCCUACCCAUUUGCUCAGAUUCAAACC